AGACAAAACUGUUUCAAAGGUUCCAAAUGGGAGUGCAACUGACGUUGGGACGCUGACCCAUGAUGGCACCUUUCCAUUGAGGCAUAUCUGGAGUUAGGACGGCAACAACACCAUCAGGUAUUUCCUCCUCUCCCUUGACUCCUUUCACCACCAAAAUUGUGGGCUUGUCAUAAGAUUUGUGUUGAACAGUGAGCAAUUGGUCGACAACAACCACAUAGCCUGCUACAUCAACUGGGCUUAUGAUCUGCCAACUGUUAAGGUUAGGUGUUAGUUAGAGAGUGAGAUAAGCUUGCACAGAAUUUCGGUUGUCAUCUUAUAAAGUAAAAUAAUGCAAAGACUAGAAUAAAUAUUAUAACAUCAGUAAAAACCUUAGAUGUCUUACCUUCCUAGGUUUGCGACAUUCCUAAGAACAGGAUCGAGGCGAUUCAGGAGUAGGGACAGUGAAGCGGCUGAUCCACUACGGAUAAUUUCCUCUGUAAAUAUGUUAACCUGUAGAUAUGGUAUUUAAUACAAGUAUGCAGAUAGGAAAAAUAAGUAAAAUGAUCUACGAUUUAUGGAACCACGUACCGUCCAUUGUUCAAUUCCAAGUAACGAGCCAAGGUAUUCGGCUGAAGGCUGGAGAAUAUCGUGGUAUUCUUCCCCCUUGGUGGCAAGCGCAAGUCUAGUUCUGUCUAGAAAUGCUUUUGCGUACAAUGCCCACUGAUCAUCAGAGCACUUAGACAUUUCAAGUGCAUGGUUCCACCCCUUCAGAAAACACAUAAUAACACUAUCAUGCUCAGCAAGAUUCACAAUUUUUGUUCAUUUUGUACCGUUAAUAUUUGUUUUUACAAGCAAAAGGGAACUAUUUGAUCAUCAAAUCAAUAAUUGAUGUCUUCUUUUAAUGCACUUUGCUUAUCUUUAAGCGCAAGUUAUUGGAUAACAAAAUUAGUAUCUUAUCUUGAGGAAGAAACAUCACAUAGCUCGCAUUUAUUAACACAAAUAAUAACUUUUGGACUACAGAAGUUAUUAUUUGUAGCAUGAUUGAGCCGUGCCGAAGUUUGUACCUUUAAGCAGCAUAGGAGGUUCUCGUUGUCAUCAGUGGACAAGGCAAGAUUUUCAACAACUAGACUGAUGAAGUACAUGAGUUUCUGGAUGAAAAAAAUGACGAUCAGACAGUAGGCAUGUCAAAGUGACAAAAGAUUAUCUAUGUAAAUGGGAAGAAACACGGAGAUAUGUUUAGUUAACCUCAGAUGAUGCAUUGUUCAGAUUUUCAAAGGACCUUUCAAUUGCUGUCCUAACAGUAGAAUCAAGAGCGAUGUCCAGAAAUAUGAGAUCCUUCAAGCGUUCUGUUGAGCUAAGUAGCAAAGGGCGAAGUGCAGCUCUUGCCUCCAACAAACCCUGUAAGUUAGCAAUUGAUUUUAGUAAAAUGUGGUUAAUGUGUUUAUCUUUAAUAGCACUGGUGUGCUAGGAAAAUGGUGGUAUAACAUCUUAUGUGAAUAUUUGAUGUGAGAAAUUAGCCUUCAGAAAGUAGUAUUACCUCAACAAGUGAUUCCACUGAUUUAUCCUCAAUGUGGUCAAGGACAAACUUAAGCAAUUCCUGCGAAAAUCAUGAAUAUCAUUACAAACAGACCUUCAUAUGCUUUAUAGAUAAUAAUGUGUUUAAGGGGAAGUUUAAGCAUAAUUACAGGAAAUCCAGAUGGUAAUCCCUUCACAGGAUUCACCUCAACGCCGACCAUGAAACCUUGACUCUGUAACAAGAAAUAUUCGUUUUAACUAACAUGAACAGGGUUUCAAUAGUUCAAUUAGCUGAUGGAUGGAUCGUGAUACCUCUGACGUGUACCCUGUACACGUUCCUAUAGCGGAUUCGAGAUCAGCACCGGAGUGAACAGCCUGUGACAUUACUAGUGUCAUCAUUCUGCACUCUUGUUACAGUGAAAUAGCAUAGGCGGACAACAUAAUGAAGCUAACCUUGAGGCUUCUCAUGUAGUUUGUCAAGUCACGCAGUAGACCCUCCUUCUGCUCACUCUUUAGAUUUGGUUCGGAGUGAAUAGGGUGGUCAUAGCUCAAUAGUCGUUCCUUCGUUAUGCCAUUUUUGUUUAGAGUAUCCCAGUAAACUUUGAUGUCAAGGCCACUGUUCAUAUAGUCCAUCAGUGCCUGCACAACAUGAGAUGUGGUCCAUCAUAUACGGUGAACGAUGAAUUCCUUACGGUGCUAAUUAAUAGUUCAAACAUCGAUGCAUUACUUGGCAAAUCACCACAUCAUCUGGGCUUGUAUUGUUGUGCAGUUUUUGAUGCCAUUCUUCCAUCAUUCCACCCAUGCAGUUAUUGUUUCUCUACAAUAAAACCAGCUUCCAGUGAACAGCCCAAUGAACAGUAUUCAUGUAGUAUCAUAUUCUCUUUCCUCAGCAUAUCAAAAAUUUGAUAGAAGACAUUCAAUAAACUUACCUGUAUUACUAGAAUCUCAUCACGAAUACGUUGGCCGACAUCACCUUGACCUCCACGGCCAACUGUGUACAUUAUCAUUCUUAGCAUCUCCCUGUGCUGUGGGUACAUUUUGUAGAGACUUUGUAGAUUGUCUGUAAACCUAUCUUGUGCUUGGCUGAUCUCACUACAUAAUUGUAGUUAAGAAGAAGCAAUAAGUUAUUCAGCCUAGUUGAGCUUUGUUGGUUGCCAUCAUUGUUUUUCCUGUGCAGGGUUGAUGAAUACAAAAAUAACAUACCGUGGCUUCACAUUAUAAUUCUUGUUCCAGAUAAGUUGCCUGGUGGCCAUGAAUCUCAUCCAAACAAGUAGUCCAGCAAGACCCAGUUGUCCGGCAUCUUUUGCUUGGUCAACUAAAUCGGCUGCUAUAUUGAAUCUGUAGGGGAAUAAUUCCAGUUUAUUGAUCUACCAGAGAACUAGUACUAUAGUCAUCUUUUAUCCUUUUACCUAUGCAUAAGAGAUCUUUGUGCAUCUUCCUCUAGAUCGGCUAUUCUUUCUAGCAAAGCCUUUGCAGUCCCUUUACUAUCAUCACUUGUACCCUUUAUGCAUGGAAAAAAAUUAGCAUGGGAUUUUGUGAGCUCUUUUGAAGGAGAUUCUUGGCCAAUAUUGGGGAGAAGCUGAAAGGUAAAGUCACCUCUGAACUUUUGGCAGCUCGUCUGCUAAAAUCAAGGUAAAAGUCAGAUGUACUGUUUUUUAUCCAUGUUUGAUUGGACCGGAGAACAAAGGGCAUUCCCUUAUAGCUGUCGUCGUCAAGCUCUAUCUCCAGAACCUUGGUAUCACAAAAAUAAAAAAAUUCAUUACAUGUAGGCAAUAGAUACUGAGUGGAAACAUGCAAAAUAGUACUACGUCCAUUGAUGAAUUUAUGCUUACCUGGUAAUGCAAACCAUUUAAUUCGGCAUCAGAGAAUGGACUCUCACAUGCCAUUUCAAGCAGUGUUGAACCAGCAGGUACUAUGCCUGGUGGAGGUGCCUGGAAAAGAAAAUGCUUCUGUGCCAGUGCCCAGUGGAGAAUAAGUGGCUCGACGUGAUCUGUAGCCAGGUGAACUUUGGUACUACCCUGUACUUGUGACAUCAAUGCCUGCGACAAAAAGGGAGGAUUUGUUUAGUCCAGCCGUGAAA